rnacentral:rRNA from 1 species
UACGUAGGUGGCAAGCGUUGUCCGGAUUUACGGGGCGUAAAGAGCGCGCAGGCGGUCGUUCAAGUCGCGUGUGAAAGCCCCCGGCUCAACUGGGGAGGGUCACGCGAUACUGAUCGACUCGAAGGCAGGAGAGGGUAGUGGAAUUCCCGGUGUAGUGGUGAAAUGCGUAGAUAUCGGGAGGAACACCAGUGGCGAAGGCGACUACCUGGCCUGUCCUUGACGCUGAGGCGCGAAAGCUAGGGGAGCAAACGGG